rnacentral:rRNA from 1 species
AUUGAACGCUGGCGGCAUGCUUUACACAUGCAAGUCGAACGGCAGCGCGAGCUUCUUCCUUCCCGCGUGUUGCGAACGGGUGAGUAAUUCAUCGGUACGUGCCCUGUAUAUAAGGCUAGCCCGACUAAAGCCAGAUUAAGAUCGCAUACGACCUUAUUUUGAACGCCGUGGACCGAAAGUGCACGCCGUUUUUGAUCUCACGUAUAGAUAUUUGCGAGCUGGAUUGGCUAGUUGGUAGGGUAACGGCUUACCAAGGCUACGAUGCGUAGCCGGCCUGAGAGGACGACCGGCCACACUGGGACUGAGACACGGCCCAGACUCCUACGGGAGGCAGCAGUGGGGAAUUUUGGGCAAUGGGGGAAAGCCUGAUCGAGCAAUGCCGCGUGAGGGAAGAAGGCCUUCGGGUUGUAAACCGCUUUUGUUCGGGAAGAAAAUAUGUGGGAUAAUCCGCCGGGGGGAUGACGGUACCGGAAGAAUAAGCACCGGCUAACUACGUG